ACUGCCAGCACCUGGCAUGUGGGAGGGGGACACUAGCUGACUAACUGAAUGAAAUCUACAGGCGUAGUGCAUGGCACGUGGUGGGUGUUUGGUAGAUAUCCGUCCUCUCCUCCCUGCCCCCUGCUUGGGUCACUGGCGGAUUUUAGGAGAUGCCUUCAGCAUCCACUUAGGGUGGACAGAACCUGGGCUUUACAUCAAACACACCUAAGUUCCCAUCCAGGGUCUGCCUCUCCCAGCUGCUGGGUGACCUUGGCGCAUCACUUCACUUCGGGAGCCUCAGCUUCUACCUACGCUGCCGGGCUCUUCUGGGGGCUCAAUGAGAACACAGAUGUCAGGGGCCCCGCCCGGUGUCUGGCACAGGGAAGAUGCUCCAUGAAUCUGAGCUUCUUUCUUUAUUGUCUUUAGAGGAUCAGAGGGGCUAAGCGUGGCCAAUAAACAGCCUGCUGUCCUGGAGGACAGAAGCAAAGACUCUCCCUUCCAUUGUAGUUGCUGUGUUUCCAAAAAGUAGGCAAUUUGGGGGAAGUUAGGCUGCCCUAACUCACCCACCACAGGCCACUUCCCUGCUCCCGCUGUUUGCUCCCAGUUAACUGGCUGUGCCUUCUGGAAUUCACAGAAGACCAGAGUCCAGAGCCUUGGGGGUGCGCAUGCCCACACACCAGGAGGACCGAGCCCUGUCCUCAAGGAGAGAGCCCUCUGAGGAGCUCUGAGGAGCCAGCCUGUCACUUGGAGAGGUGACGGGAGGAAGAUCAGUGUCAAAAAUAAGACAGAGAAGUGGGUUUCAACUUGACUCACAUUAAGAAUGUCACUUUAGAGCACAAACGAAAGAGAAGAGAAAUGCUCUUUUAUGCAGGAGUUUAUUUUUGUCACUUUGUCAGAGAGAAAUUGCAGCCCUGAGGGCAUUGGAGCUGCACAGAAUUACCCAAAACAUUAACAUGCAAAUUGCCUUCUUUAGAGAAAGUAAUUUUAUUAGUGCACGAAAACGUUUCUUUCACUGUACUCAGGCUCAGGAGCAGUGUUGUCUGGGGGCCAGUUGGGGCCGCCGCAAAUGGAGAAUUAGGGAGAGUCCUAAACUUGGUUAGGAUUCUGUUACCUCCUCUCCUUGGGACCACGCAUGGAACACGCUUCUGGGGGUGUUACCAUGGUUACACGGUUACAGCUGGUUGCCAUGGGCACACUGAGUGUAGAGGGCAAGGGACUUGUUCAAGAUCAUGCAGCAUGAAUGGCAGAAGAAGAGGUGGAGCGUGAGGUCGCCUGACCUGUGUCCGUGAGCGACAGGGAACCACUGGGGGUCCUGGAAGUAGCCACUCGGAGAAUAAUGAGAUCCCAGUGGCAUUCUAGCCUUCUAUUCACUUAUUUAUUCACUCACUCACUCAUCCAUUCAAUAAGCUUUCGCUGUCCUAGGCCCUGGGGCCGAGAUAUGAAUCAGGCACUGGCAGCAGCACCCGCAGGGGGCGGGUGGAGAGGCAUACAGAUGUAUGCAACCACUGAUGAUCUAGCCAGGUCAGACCUACUGGAGACGAGUGCCAAGAACUGACAGACCACAGGCCAGAGUAUGGCUGACUGUUUGGCAGGGAGGCAAGGAGAGGGGCCUGGAAGCUUCACUAAGGAGGGUGUCACAUGUGGGCAUUGUCCAGGUAGUCAAGGUAGGGAAGGGCAUUGCAGGCAGGGAGAAAAGCAUGAGCAGAGGCACGGAAGGAAGCAUGUUGGCCUGGCCCAGACUAGCCUGUAUGGCUGCUGCACAGGGUGCGUGGGAAGAGGGGGGCUGAGGUUGCAGAGGAUGGAGAGGAGGCUGGCCAGGCCAGUCUCAAAGGCUGAAGAGCUCAGAUUUUACCCUGCAGGUGGCAAGCAGACCUGCAGGGCCUGUUCAGAACAGAACCACGUUCCGGAGACUUCACGAGGGAGGGGGUUUCCCAGGCCCUGGAGUGCCAAAAUGACAGAAGGUUGUAUGAGGCUGCGCUUACAUAAGACUUCUCCUCCCUUCACAGACUUGAUCAGCGGGGAAGUGUGGGCAGAGACACCCACCUGCUACCAAGAAGAAAGCACCUCAGUCAUGCAAGGUCUCGCUGAACAGUUCAGCUAGGUCAGCAGAACGGAGAGACCCCGGCAGAUCCCAGAAAGCGUCACCGGAGCCUGUACUGAGGACAGCCCCUGUGGAUUCCACUUACAGGGAGCAAUUUAAGAGGCAAACAAAACAUGAAAAGCUACUCAGAAUUAACAAUGGGCCAGAUGGUAAUGCUAGUUUGAAGCAAUAAAAUAUGAUAAAUAGCUUCCUGCUGCUACUCCUGAUCAAUUUCAAUAUUUAAUAAUUCCACUGCCACCCCCACCCCCUCCUCCGGCCCCCUCCACAGGGUCCUGCGAUGACUCCUGGCAUUCAACUCACAGAACAAACACUUCUUCGCUUUCUGAAGGCGUCAGCAAAAAGCACGCUGCUCAAUUGUCACAUGAGUGCUCUCGGUCCUGGAGAUGAUAAUUAAUCUGCCUACUUCUCCUGAAGACGCUCCAGCUCACGCCUCUCCUAGUUGCCAGGGAAGGCUGCGAGGGAGCUCCGACUGCAGAGAUGUGAUAGGAGUAUUGGUAUUCCUCGAGUUUUGCAUUCCCAUUAAAGGAAGGGGAGCCAUAGGGUGGUCAUCUUACUCCAGGACCAAUCAGGAGGAUAAAGCAACCCGGAAGGGCACAAUGGCAGCCUGGUGUUAGAGUCUUAUGCCCCGGCCAUGCCUCUGAGCCUCAGUUUCCUUCUCCAUACAGUGGAGAUCAUUGAGCCUACCUCCAGGAGAAUUAUAGCCAGUGCUGCACAUGCAAAGUGCCCGGCAGGAUGCUGGGCGUGCAGGAAAUGCCCAACAACUGGCAGCCGGCAGCAGCAAAUGACGCCUGAGCGCCCUGCCUGCAGGGACCUCCUGCUGGUCCCUGUGGUCAGGAAGCUGUAGCCCAGGGCAGAUCACAGGUGUGGGGCAGGAUCUGGCAAGGGCACCCUGCGGUCAGACAGACCAGACCACCCCAGGAUUCUCCCCACUCGGUGCCCAUUAAUAAGAUUAACCGCUUUGCACGGCCUGUGAGGGUUCCAAUGGCUUUCCUACCCACUGGCCCAGGAGACCUCAGGCACCCCUGGAGAGCAGGUAUUUUGGCAUCGUUCACCAGAGGCAAUGGAGAGGAGGUAAAAUGGCUUUUCAAGCUGACAUCGUAGGAAACGGCAGUCAAUUCUAGUUUGGAUCUCCCAACCCCCGACUUCAUGUCCUCUCCCCAAAUCACAGGAGAAGGCUGCUCCUCAAGGUGCCCCCUCCUCUGUGUGUCCCCUUCACAGGGAGGGACGCCUGGGGGCCAGGUCACCUGUGCUGCAGUUUACUCAUCUGUGAAAUGAGACUUGUAAUAUACCCACUACACUGGUUCACGGGCACAUUUAAUAAGGGAAUAUGCAUGAAAGUACUUUGUAAUUUUGUGAUGAGCUGUACAAAGGUCAGGUAUGGUUAUUAUGACUUUUUAGAAAAGCACCUUCUGUGAGGAAAAAGAUCAGAAACUCAUUCCCCCAAAGGUGGGUUCUUCUCACCAAAGCCUUCACUGGCCCCACAUUACCUAGAGGAUCAAGAUCAAACUCUUUCGUGUGGCAUUUGAGGCCUCGACACCCCAUCUCUGCCCCUUCUCCCUUCCCUUCCCGAGUCAGCCUAUCUAAGUUGCUUGGGGUUACCUGAGCCUUUCACAAGCCUAGCCCUGCCAGAGGGGUCUGUCCUGCCUUGUACACAGGCUUAUCCCACUCAUGCUUCUCCAAGAAGUGUUCCUGGGGCCUCCCUUGAUUAGGAGCUCCUCCUCUGGGGUCCCGGAUAACCUCUCUGUGCUUCUCUCCAUCCUAGCCUGCAUCACGGUACCCUAGUGACGGGUUUUUAUCUGCCUCCCAGAUCUACAGUGAGUUCCAUCCGAGCGAGAACCGAGUGCUACUCACUCUAGUCCAUCCAGGGCCUGGCCCGGCAUAUGCUCAGUCAGUAUGUGCUGAGGGGUGAAUGAAUAAACGAAUAACUAAGUAUUCCCAGGAGAAAUGGAAUCAGAGUCUUAAGCAAAGACAAUGGAUUCUAACGGCGGAAUUAGAAUGUGGUUGGGCACAGCCUUGGUAGCAGAAUUCAGGGUCGUGCUCUGAAUUCAAAUUCAGCUCAGCCUCUUGAGCCAUGUCUAGAGCUGGGCGUGGUGGAGGCCAGGCAUCGGGUACCUGAAUCACGCUGGUCCAGGGUCAUGGAGUUCCAUCUCCUUGUGAUGUCGAUGUAGAGGAUGUCCACAGCGGCCAUGGACAGGCUGCUGCUGCUGAGCUUGCAGUUCCUGCC